rnacentral:rRNA from 1 species
CCUACGGGUGGCAGCAGUGAGGAAUAUUGGUCAAUGGGCGGGAGCCUGAACCAGCCAAGUCGCGUGAGGGAAGACGGUCCUAUGGAUUGUAAACCUCUGUCAGCAGGGAAGAACGGUCACUGUGCUAAUCAGCAGUGAAUUGACGGUACCUGAAAAGGAAGCACCGGCUAACUCCGUGCCAGCAGCCGCGGUAAUACGGAGGGCGUGAGCGUUAAUCGGAAUUACUGGGCGAAAAGCGCUCGUAGGCGGGAUGUCAAGUCAAGGGUGAAAGGCCCGCGCUCAACGUGGGAACUGCCUUUGAAACUGGCAAACUGGAGUGUGGUAGAGGAUAGUGGAAUUCCAGGUGUAGGGGUGAAAUCCGUAGAUAUCUGGAGGAACAUCAGUGGCGAAGGCGACUAUCUGGCACAUAACUGACGCUGAGGAGCGAAAGCGUGGGUAGCAAACAGGAUUAGAUACCCGAGUAGUC